AUACUUACCUGGCAGUGGAGACACCAUAAUCACAAAGGUGGUUUUCCCAGGGCAAGGUUUAUCCAUUGCACUCUGGGUGUGCUGACCCCUGAGAUUUCCCCAAACAUGGGAAACUCAACUGCAUAAUUUGUGGUAGUGGGGGACUGCGUUUGUGCUCUCCCCUG
rnacentral:snRNA from 1 species